AUUCAUUCCUUCAGGGGUGAAUCGCUCCAAAAAUGUCUCAUGCAUUGACGGAUGCUGCUUUAUUUGUUUUGUCCAUUUUAUGAUGAAGUACUGAAAUCAUCAUGGUUGCAGCAUUUCAGAGCUGAAAAGCAACAUUGCUAUGGUGAUGUCAGUCAGAAUGGCUCCUCCUCUUCAUCUGAUCUUUCUGCUCAUGGUUUCGGGCUGUUCAUCCCUGCACCAACGCUCCUAAAAUGAACAUCCCUCUGUAUGAGAAUGUUACAGUUUAUGAGAAUGUUACCACUAACAGGAAUAUGCUGUAGUGAUGAUGGCACACACCAAAACAUUUUACAGUCUUCGUGUGACUGUGUGGGUGGAGCCUGGAUGAUUGACAGGAGUGUCUGAUGAAGAUUUACUGGAGUAUUUUGAGAAGAUUUAGGAAAUGGAUACAAGUGGAAGUCGAAGACUUGUAGCCGGCAAAUAAUGUCAUCAUGAAAAUAUAUUCUUGCCUGACUUGUUUGAUUAUAAUGGCUUACAAUUAAUGUUAAUUGUUUAUUAGUUCGAUUUUUGUUGUUUGUGUCACUGUAAACAUCUUUAUGAUCAGUGUAGGAAUACAAAUGUUCUAGUAAAUACACUUUUAACAAUGGACAUUUUGAAUUCAUUUUUCAUUCAAUAAAUUAAUAGUCUCAAUA